rnacentral:lncRNA from 1 species
AUCACAAGGUCAUCCUAAGUGUUCACCUCACUUGAAAUUUUCCUUUUGUGGGAAUAAGUGAAAGAAAAUAACCUGAAUUGGAUGCAGAAGGGCUUUUGAAGAAAGAAGUUAUCUUAAAAUGAAGAGUGAAGGAUAAAACAAUGAAGCUUUUCCAAAGGCCCUAUGAUGUGGGAAGUGUUGCGAGAAGUCAGGGACCCUGAACGGAGGGACCUGCUGGAGCCGUGGCAGAGGAACAUAAGUUGUGAAGAUUUCAUUUUAAUAUGGACAUUUUCCAGUUCCUAAAUAAUACUUUUAUAAUUUCUUAUGCCUGUCUUUAAUCUCUUAAUCCUGUUAUCUUUGUAAGCUGAGGAUGUACAUCACCUCAGGACCACUGUGAUAAUUGUGUUAACUAUACAAAUUAUUGUAAAACAUAUGUGUUUGGACAAUAUGAAAUCAGUGCACCUUGAAAAAGGAAAGAAUAACAGUGAUUUUUAGGGAACAAGGGAAGGCAACCAUAAGGUCUGACUGCCUGCGGGGUCCGGCAAAAAGAGCCAUAUUUUUCUUCUUGCAGAGAGCCUAUAAACAGAUGUGCAAGUAGGAGAGAUAUCGCUAAAUUCUUUUCCUAGGAAGAAAUAUUAAUAUUAAUACCCUGGGAAAGGAAUGCAUUCCUGGGGGGAGGUCUAUAAAUGGCCACUCUGGGAGCGUCUGUCUUAUGUGGUUGAGAUAAGGACUGAGAUACGCCCUGGUCUCCUGCAGUACCCUCAGGUUUACUAGGGUAGAGAAAAACUCUGCCCUGGUAAAUUUGUGAUCAGACUGGUUCUCUGCUCUUGAACCCUGUUUUCUGUUGUUUAAGAUGUUUAUCAAGACAAUAUGCGCACCACUGAACAUAGACCCUUAUCAAUAGUUCUGCUUUUGCCCUUUGCCUUGUGAUCUUUGUUGGACCCUUAUAGGUAGUUCUGCUUUUUGCCCUUUGAAGCAUGUGAUCUUUGUACCUACUCCCUGUUUUACACCCCCUCCCCUUUUGAAACCCUUAAUAAAAAACUUGCUGGUUUGAGGCUCAGGUGGGCAUCAUGGUCCUACUGAUAUGUGAUGUCACCCCC